rnacentral:rRNA from 1 species
UACGGAGGGUGCAAACGUUGCUCGGAAUCAUUGGGCGUAAAGCGCACGUAGGCGGUUCGUUAUGUCGGAUGUGAAAGCCCUUGGCUUAACCGAGGAAGUGCAUCCGAAACUGGCGAGCUAGAGUACUAAAGAGGAUCGCGGAAUUCCCGGUGUAGAGGUGAAAUUCGUAGAUAUCGGGAGGAACACCGGUGGCGAAGGCGG